rnacentral:tRNA from 1 species
GGCCUGAUGGUGUAGUUGGUUAUCACGUGUCCUUAACACGGACAAGGUCCUGGGAUCGAACCCCAGUUGGGCCA